AAAACUUCAUGCGUUUCAAAAAAUGUUUGUGAAUUUAAAAUAAAAUCCUCCAACAUAAAAAAAUAUGUUCGUCUUUUCUUCAAUUGGUCGCCAAUUCAAAUGAAAAUAUUUAAACCUGUUCAAAAUAUAAAAAAUAUUCACGAUUUUUAGCAAAUGUUUAUAAAUUGUAAAAAAUGUUCUCAAUUUUAAAAUUGUUUCCAUAUUUGUAAAAUUGUUCACGAAAGAUCUAAUGUAUGUAGUUGAACAUUAAUGCUUCUAAGUCUUUGUGACAAAAUAAUCGUUGAAUUUUGAGUAAUAAACUGUUGAAUGGAUCGGAUUAUUAUUGUAUGUUUUCUAAAAAAAUUCUUGAAAUUCAGAAUAAAUCUUUGAGUUACCAAGAUUUUUGNUGAGUUACCAAGAUUUUUGACUACCAUGAUAUAUAUUUUUUGAAAAUGUAAAGUUUGCUUCGACUUGUGAAUAAAUUUAAAAGAAGAAACAUUUUCUUGCAUUUCUGCGCAAAAUUUCUAAAUCAAGCGAUGAUAUGUGAACGUAAUGUGGUUACCAUCAUUGAAGAUUAUGUUUUUU
rnacentral:lncRNA from 1 species